UUAACAAUGUCCAAGUAAAGAAACUGAAAUGACUGUCCUUCAUACAAGGAUGCGUUGCUGAUCUGCUAUUAACAAGGUUGGAUCAGAGAAAUUGCCGCUGAAUGAUGUUUUCCUCUUCAUUUAAGUGAAGAAGAAGAUGGUAAGAAAACAGAAAGGAGGAUGUUCCAGCUGGGAAGAAGGGAUGUAAAGGCAAACAAUUGAGGAUGAACUGACAAGUCAGAAGAUUGG
rnacentral:lncRNA from 12 species